rnacentral:tRNA from 1 species
GCGGAAGUGGCGAAAUUGGUAUACGCAUUAGACUUAGGAUCUAAAAGAAAAAAAUAAAAAUAAAUUCUAUGAGAGUUCGACUCUCUCCUUCCGUA